AUUCAAAGCAAUACAGAGGGAAAAAAAUCAAUUUUUUUAACGUUAACAGAAUGCUUAAAAACUUAAAAGGACUACAAAUGUUUCAUUGGAUUUUGAUACUACAUACUUUGGUUUUAAUUUGUUGUAUCUCCACAAUUUUACUAUUAUGCAGCAAUAAGUAUUAAGCCAUAUUUAGGAUUUUACUUACUCAAAAAAAAUUAAUGGACGGUUUUUCAUGUUCAAGCCAUCAUGCUGGCUUGAGAAGCAGGGUUGGGUGGUGGGAGGAUGUAAUGGUUAGCUUAUUUUCCUCAAAUCAGAGCCAUUUAGAUACUUUUACAACUAUUGCUUAAAAUCUCUGCAGCAAGAACUUGCCAUUAACAGGGCAGCAUAUUCCUCUGUCUUCUAUUGUAAUUGAAAGAAAUUAUUUUUCACCAUAGUCCAACACCACCUACCUCCCAUCGGCCACCUAGUUCUGACUUCUAGAGCAACACCAAGCCAGGCCAAUGCUUCAUUCUUGGAAUUCUCUAAGAUAAAAAUUCCAAGUACUGCAACUUCCUUUUUCUAACCCAGCUAUAAGGUUUCAUAUCAAUUAUCAUUAAAUUUCAUUGUAUUGGUUUCAUCAAUUACUCACUUUAUUGAGCUAUCCAAAUAUUUAUUCUGGGAUUCAUUACAUUAGAUACUUCUCUAAGUUUGUCUUUCUGCCUUUGAAAUACACUGGGACGACAAUUAAAAUGAUAAAAGUAUCAGACAUCUUUAUUUUUCAGCUCAGGAAAAAUAGGAUGGUGAUGAAAAAAAUUAUUUAAUUCACCUUUAAAAUUUCUCAUGUGGGCUUCUUAGAAAUACUUAACUUUCAUUUUAAAAUGGUACAUAAAAUAGUCAUACACAUGCACACAUUUUUCUUUUUUAAAUAUCUGAAACACAUUUUAGCCUGAUGUAUGAAAUUAGAUAAUGUAAACAGUGACAGAUGUUUUACUGUACGAAAAUAUUUCCUGAAUAAUCAGAUUAAGCUCAUGAAUUAGAGAUGAUUUCUUCAAAUUUUAUAAACAUG
rnacentral:lncRNA from 1 species